rnacentral:rRNA from 1 species
GGAACGUUAAAGACGAUGACGUUGAUAGGUCGGGUGUGUAAGCGUAGCGAUACGUUGAGCUAACCGAUACUAAUGAACCGUGAGGCUUAACCUUACAACGCCGAAG